rnacentral:tRNA from 1 species
GGAAAGGUGGCAGAGUGGUUGAAUGCGGCGGUCUCGAAAACCGUUGUUCCGGAUUCCGGAACCGGGGGUUCGAAUCCCCCCCUUUCCG